rnacentral:misc_RNA from 1 species
UCCGGUUUGUCACCGGCAGUCUCCCUAGAGUUCCCGGCCGAACCGCUGGCAACUAGGGACAAGGGUUGCGCUCGUUGCGCCACUUAAGGCAACACCUCACGGCACGAGCUGACGACAGCCAUGCAGCACCUGUGCGGGCUCCCGUAGGAGGACCGUGUUUCCACGGCUUCACCCCGCAUGUCAAGCCCUGGUAAGGUUCUUCGCGUUGCGUCGAAUUAAGCCACAUGCUCCGCCGCUUGUGCGGGCCCCCGUCAAUUCCUUUGAGUUUCACCGUUGCCGGCGUACUCCCCAGGUGGAUUACUUAUCGCUUGCGCUGGGCCGCUGGCAGUGUAUCGCCAACAGCGAGUAAUCAACGUUUACAGUGUGGACUAC